GCCAGAGCCCCUCCCUGUUUUUGCUCACCUCCGCCGCGGAGGGUCUUUCGCUUUCAAGCCGGCACGUAUUUCUGGAAGUGGUCGCGGAGCAAUCACAAGUGUUCGGCAUCGUAAAGACGAACAAAUGCAAUACAUGCUUAAAGGUUCUUCAGGCACAUUGCAAUUUCUAAUUUUUAAAAGAAGUGACAGAACUUCAUUGAUUUUGAAUCAACUAAUGUAAGAAGAAUCUGGAAAAUAUGAGCUGCUUCAUUUCAACCUAUUUUACCUGAACUGAGGAUCAGGGUUGUAUGAACAAUACCACUUCUCUGCCUAGCUGUUUUGAUUACAUGACCAUCGUAACCCAUCAAAUGAGUUUGCUAGUAGCAUGCAUAGUAUGUAAGAGCAAUGAUUUCAUAAAACAAACAGACAGACACAAGAGCAAACAGCAACAUGAUAAUCUCCUCAAGAGUGAAGAACCUGGGAGAAUGAACAGUUACUUGGCCUCAACAAUAUCAGCAUAGAGAUCAGCAUUUCCCGAGGUGGUUUUCCUGCUUUUGCCGGUUCCCAGCUGUGGAAAGGUUGAAAACUACUGACAUAGACCAUGAGGACGUGCUACCUUUCCUAAAGAAGGCAAUCAGUUACUGCAACAACUAAGCAAAGAUGAAUAUACGAAGAAGAAAAUAAAGCCAAGAACAAGUUUGUGAUCCUAGUUACUAUCGUUUCAAGGUAAAAACAGCAUUCUGUUCUGAAAAAAUCAACUAGAAACAAGCUGAAUAAGAUGAGUGCUUUCCUCACCCCUCCAUUUUCUGAACCAUUCUUAUUUUGUGCACCAAAACGAAAUUGUUUUUUAUAAAGACUAUUUUUAAACAUGUAAUUUUCUUAAAGCUACGGGAGUCAAAACCUACACAGAGGUAUGAUUCAUCUGUAACAACUCUUGUAUGGGCUGUUGCUUUAUUGAGAGCUUAAUCUCCAAUUUGUCAGUCCAAAGAUCACAAAAAGUACAGAUUUCCUCUACCAACUGCUUAUUUCCUAUAUCCCAGAUACUUUUGUGGCACUGUAAUACCAGCACAAACAGAAGAUUUUUUAAACUACUCUUGCUCACUGCCUGGAUAGCCCGGCAAAAGAACACUUUGUUCAAGGUUUACAUGUAAGACAGCAAACAGCCAGAAUGCAUAACUCACCAACAAA